AGCGAACGCUGGCGGCAGGCUUAACACAUGCAAGUCGAGCGGGCGUAGCAAUACGUCAGCGGCAGACGGGUGAGUAACGCGUGGGAACGUACCUUUUGGUUCGGAACAACACAGGGAAACUUGUGCUAAGUACCGGAUAAGCCCUUACGGGGAAAGAUUUAUCGCCGAAAGAUCGGCCCGCGUCUGAUUAGCUAGUUGGUGAGGUAACGGCUCACCAAGGCGACGAUCAGUAGCUGGUCCNCAGAGGAUGAUCAGCCAGACUGGGACUGAGACACGGCCCAGACUCCUACGGGAGGCAGCAGUUAGGAAUUUUGGGCAAUGGGCGCAAGCCUGACCAGGCCAUGCCGCGUGGGGGAUGACGGCCUGUUGGUAA
rnacentral:rRNA from 1 species